CUCGUAGGCGGUUUGUCGCGUCUGUCGUGAAAGUCCGGGGCUUAACCCCGGAUCUGCGGUGGGUACGGGCAGACUAGAGUGCAGUAGGGGAGACUGGAAUUCCUGGUGUAGCGGUGGAAUGCGCAGAUAUCAGGAGGAACACCGAUGGCGAAGGCAGGUCUCUGGGCUGUAACUGACGCUGAGGAGCGAAAGCAUGGGGAGCGAACA
rnacentral:rRNA from 1 species